UAACGGCGCAGUGAAGCGGUAACAGCUCAAAUUUGAAAUCUGGCCUCACGGUCCGANUUGUAAUUUGUAGAGGAUGCUUCGAGCAUGGUCUGGCCUAAGUUCCUUGGAACAGGACGUCAUAGAGGGUGAGAAUCCCGUAUGCGGCCAGGUGCCUACGCUCAUGUGAAGCUCCUUCGACGAGUCGAGUUGUUUGGGAAUGCAGCUCAAAAUGGGUGGUAAAUUUCAUCUAAAGCUAAAUAUUGGCCAGAGACCGAUAGCGCACAAGUAGAGUGAUCGAAAGAUGAAAAGCACUUUGGAAAGAGAGUUAAACAGUACGUGAAAUUGUUGAAAGGGAAGCGCUUGCAACCAGACUUGCGCGCGGCCGAUCAUCCGGUGUUCUCACCGGUGCACUCGGCCGUGCUCAGGCCAGCAUCGGUUUUGGCGGCUGGAUAAAGGCCCUAGGAAUGUAGCUCCUCUCGGGGAGUGUUAUAGCCUAGGGUGCAAUGCAGCCUGCUGGGACCGAGGACCGCGCUUCGGCUAGGAUGCUGGCGUAAUGGUUGUAAGCGGCCCGUCUUGAAACACGGACCAAGGAGUCUAACAUCUAUGCGAGUGUUUGGGUGUCAAACCCAUACGCGUAAUGAAAGUGAACGGAGGUGAGAACCCUUAAGGGUGCAUCAUCGACCGGUCCUGAAGUUUACGGAAGGAUCUGAGUAAGAGCAUAGCUGUUGGGACCCGAAAGAUGGUGAACUAUGCCUGAAUAGGGUGAAGCCAGAGGAAACUCUGGUGGAGGCUCGCAGCGGUUCUGACGUGCAAAUCGAUCGUCAAAAUUUGGGUAUAGGGGGCGAAAGACUAAUCGAACCAUCUAGUAGCUGGUUCCUGCCGAAGUCUCCCUCAGGAUAGCAGUGUUGAAUUCAGUUUUUAUGAGGUAAAGCCAAAUGAUUAAAGGCCUU
rnacentral:rRNA from 1 species